rnacentral:pre_miRNA from 14 species
UUGCUGCGGCACCGUAAGGUGAAUAUAGCUGCCCAUUGAUGUCUGUUUAGAACCCGGUGGGCCGCAGUUCACCUACAGUGACGCAGUGA